rnacentral:rRNA from 1 species
GAUGAGCGCUGGCGGCGUGCCUAAUACAUGCAAGUCGAGCGAACAGACGAGGAGCUUGCUCCUCUGACGUUAGCGGCGGACGGGUGAGUAACACGUGGAUAACCUACCUAUAAGACUGGGAUAACUUCGGGAAACCGGAGCUAAUACCGGAUAAUAUAUUGAACCGCAUGGUUCAAUAGUGAAAGACGGUUUUGCUGUCACUUAUCGAUGGAUCCGCGCCGCAUUAGCUAGUUGGUAAGGUAACGGCUUACCAAGGCAACGAUGCGUAGCCGACCGGAGAGAGUGAUCGGCCACACUGGAACUGAGACACGGUCCAGACUCCUACGGGAGGCAGCAGUAGGGAAUCUGCCGCAAUGGGCGAAAGCCUGACGGAGCAACGCCGCGUGAGUGAUGAAGGUCUUCGGAUCGUAAAACUCUGUUAUUAGGGAAGAACAAAUGUGGAAGUAACUAUGCACGUCUUGACGGUACCGAAUCAGAAAGCCACGGCUAACUACGUG